UAGACUCAAGCAUUGCUGUACUCUUCUGGAUAGGCCUUGCUUAUUGUGCAUUCGAGAGAAGGGGUGUUUUUGUCCAUGGAAUUUUUGUGUGCAGAACACAUGGCCUUGACUACUAAGAAAGUGUCUGUGAUGGUUGAGUUCUUAGGCCGGGCUUUCUGAAUUUUAAGGGUCUAAAACAAGGAAAGGCUGAUGCUGCUUUUGGAAGACAUCCUCAUACAUGAUCUGCUGCAACUCCAGAAAUAUAUCUCUCCCACGGAGAGGAACAGAACAUGCACAGUAUGGAAUACAGCCGAAGAUUUCAACAAGGCUAAUUAUUUUGUUGUCUAGGUAUUCUGAGUAGAAUUUUUUUUUAUUUGUAAAUAAAAAUUUCCCUUUUGAAAACAA